CCUACGGGAGGCAGCAGUAGGGAAUCUUCCACAAUGGACGAAAGCCUGAUGGAGCAACGCCGCGUGAGUGAAGAAGGGUCUCGGCUCGUAAAGCUCCGUUGGUAGUGAAGAAAGAUAGAGGUAGUAACUGGCCUUUAUUUGACGGUAAUUACUUAGAAAGUCACGGCUAACUACGUGCCAGCAGCCGCGGUAAUACGUAGGUGGCAAGCGUUGUCCGGAUUGAUUGGGCGUAAAGCGAGUGCAGGCGGUUCAAUAAGUCUGAUGUGAAAGCCUUCGGCUCAACCGGAGAAUUGCAUCAGAAACUGUUGAACUUGAGUGCAGAAGGGGAGAGUGGAACUCCAUGUGUAGCGGUGGAAUGCGUAGAUAUAUGGAAGAACACCAGUGGCGAAGGCGGCUCUCUGGUCUGCAACUGACGCUGAGGCUCGAAAGCAUGGGUAGCGAACAGGAUUAGAUACCCUUGUAGUC
rnacentral:rRNA from 1 species